rnacentral:rRNA from 1 species
AGAGUUUGAUCAUGGCUCAGAAUCAACGCUGGCGGCGCGCUUAACACAUGCAAGUCGCACGAGAAAGGGGAGCAAUCCCUGAGUACAGUGGCGUACGGGUGAGUAACACGUGGAUCAUCUACCUUCUAGUGGGGAAUAACCAUGGGAAACCGUGGCUAAUACCGCAUAAGCUCGAGAGAGGAAAGCAGCAAUGCGCUGGAAGAGGAGUCCGCGGCCGAUUAGCUAGUUGGCAGGGUAAAAGCCUACCAAGGCAGAGAUCGGUAGCCGGCCUGAGAGGGCACACGGCCACACUGGCACUGAAACACGGGCCAGACUCCCACGGGAGGCAGCAGUGGGGAAUCUUGCACAAUGGGGGAAACCCCGAUGCAGCGACGCCGCGUGAGCGAUGAAGCCCUUCGGGGUGUAAAGCUCUUUCGGCAGGGAAGAUGAUGACGGUACCUGCAGAAGCAGCUGCGGCUAACUACGUGCCAGCAGCCGCGGUA